rnacentral:lncRNA from 1 species
GCAAGCCCCCAGAGCCAAAGACUUGGCAUGGGCUUAAUCUUGUGCCUCAGCUUCUUGAUGCCCAUCAGCUACGUCAUGCCCGAUGGAUACUCUAGCAAAAUUGUAGAUAAUGAAAUUGGAAGGGCAUAUGUGGCACGGAGCUGAGUGUGACUCCAGUCAAUAGCCAGUGGAGAUCUGAGGCUCUCAUUCCAAAAGCCCACAAGGAAGCAAAUUCUGCCAAUAGCCCUGUGAGUGUGGAAAAGACCUUUCUCAGUCAUAUUUUAAGGCAUCCAUCAUCCUGGAAGACCUGACCCAGAUGCUUCACACUCACAUUCCUGACCCGUGAAACUUUCAGGGUGUGUCGUGUUCAUGCCACAGUGUGCACGUGGAGGUGAGAAAACAACUUCUGGGAGUCUGUGCUCUUCUUCUAGCAUGUGGAUCCAUGAAAUUGAAUGGAGUCAGACUAAGAGGCAAAAAAACAUUACUAUGGAAAUGAAGCACUGCUGAGCAGCAGAAGAUACACGCUUCGAGAUGAUUACACAUUGGUUUAGUCCCUUUCAAAGCAGUACUAGCUGAAUGUGGCAGUGCAUAUGCUCAGUCCUUCCAACUCUGGAUGUUGAGGCAGGCCCUGAUUCUGGAGCUCAGAUUUGCUUGGAACUUAUUAUGAAAACUGGCCUCACACUCACGGCAGUCCUCCUUCUUCAGCCUAUGUGCUGGGACUUCAAGAUACAUUGCCAAGCCCAGACUCUAAAUUUGAGAGGAUUAGGAAAUUUCUGCAGAUGAAAUAAAAGCUACACACACACACACACACACACACACACACACACACACACACACACCACUUUCUCUGUAAUCCUGAAAGGCCCAUUGACUACUAAAGCAAGUCUAUGGAGCUGUGGCUUUUUCUGGACAAACAUAUGCUGAUCUUUUUUCUGGAGCAAGUGCUGCAGAAGAGCUUACUGAAUUGAAAUAGGAUAUAAACUUGAUUACUGAACAAAGAGUCCAGUACUCCAGAGAUUUGUAGAGAUUUUUUUCUACAGCAAUGAUGUUUAUAGAUGUAUUAAUAUUUUGUUAUUAUUGGUAGCAUUUUAUAGGUAACCAACUGCUGAUGGAUUUUCUAAAACUGUAGUGGAGAUAUGAAUCUUUUAUCACAUUACCAGUGAGUCAUUUUAACGGGAAGAGAAAUGAUUUUCCAUCUUACUGACUUUGGUUUGCCUGUGGGUGAUCUGCCAUUCACACAGCAUGUUAGUGAUAUCAGUAAUCAAGCCAUUCAGGUCUAAUAAAAUAAGAGAGUCCUUGAACGCAGAGACUGCUAUUGGCAGUCACCAGAAUAGCCAAUGUGGUCCUCACACUCAGGUGUGAGAUCUUUUCGUGUUUUGGAAGUCAUGUAUACAAGAGCUGGGAGCCAGACUGCUUUGGGGAGCUUUCCUUCCCCACAUGGCAACCAUGGGCAAGCCUCUUCAUGACCCUCUAAGACUGGUUUGGACUCACUGGUCUGAACAUAAAUAACAUCCGUAGCUGCCUUGAAUGUUUGGCUCAGAUAGACCAGUCUACAUUUGGAGAUGACUCAAGCCGUGUCAAAUAAACCUGAGAGCCUCAGAUUCCGGACUCAGAAUCUCACCAUCUGGUCAAAAACACACAUGGAGGUGAUAAAAAAAAUUGAUUCUAUAUCUUUAAGGCCACCAAGGUACAAAAGAGUGGGCAAAUGGACACUUUAAGGGGAAAGAAAAAGUAGGUCCCCACUGGUCUUUCUAUUUUCUGGAAAGAGCUUUGUGAGAGAUAUUUGUAAAAGUUUUACUUUUUUGUUCCUAAGUGAAGCUCCCUGGGGAUUUCAAGCAGCAUGAAGCUCAGUGGAAAACUUGCAAUUAACCAAUUAAUAUGAUGGAAUGCAAGGUAAAAACUCCUACAGUGGGCCAAGAGAAAGAUCACCCUGGCCCUGAAUGGAGAGAACUGGCUGUUUAUACCUAGCAGGUUAGCAGUGUGAAUGCCAAGUCCUGCCUUCGAUCAUGCUGUGUGGGAAGGUGCACAGGUCUGCUCCAUCCAGGAAGAGGAUUUUAAUGAUGUGUGUUUUAUAAUGAACGGCCACACGCUGCCUCGGAAACUCUGCUAAGUCAAGUCUGCUGGGAAUAGUUCUUGAUUCUCCCUUUUGAGUUUGGAACACUAGGGCCAUAUGUGUAUAUAUAACUUUAUAAAAUAGAUUUUAUUUAUUUACAUCCCUUCUUGUCACAACCUUCCAAUAUCUGGAUCCCUUUAGAUGAAAAAGUUCUGCUGUGCUAUAUUCUGUUAGUGAACCUGGAGUAAGUUUAAGAGUUGAUGGUUGCUGAGCAGGGGAACGGGAAGGGGAUAGGGGGUUUUC